rnacentral:lncRNA from 1 species
ACACCCAGUUUCCUUCCAUCUUUCCACCCUGCCAGCCUCUGCUCAGAAUAACUGUUCCUCAAACUGAGGCACAACACCGUCCAGCAGCCAAGGAGCAGAACAGCAGCUCUACGAAGAGCAAGGGGAACCCCGUUCUUCCAAGCCCCUCAACAGCUUUGCUUCCAUCUGUGAGAACCACGCCCGGUGCCUAACUUAGCAAAGGGAGUGCCCCUCCCCCCAUGACCUGUGCUGCUCCCAGACCGGGGAGUGGGAGCGGAGUCCGCCUUCUCUGAGGCCCAGGAAGGAGGAGAGUAGAAACAAAGCCAAGGUCCAGGAGUCACACCGAGAAGGCGGACAGGGACCCCUGGAACAACUGGAGCCGGGGUGGCAGAGAUGGCAGCCAAGAUGGAGGUGGCCUGGGUCCCCGAAACCCCGCACAGAGGACAGUGGCUCAGAAUGCCACUGAGCUGCAUUGGACAGUAAGUUCCUCUCCAUGGAUCUUGAUCGACCUCUCAUUAUACGUCACAAGUUUGUUGAUACCUAUCCAGGCUGGAACAUCCAUGGGGUGGCACCCGGCCACACAGAGUCUACAGAAGGCUCCGGAGGGUGAAGUUGUUGUCAAUGGAACACAUAGCAUGAAUGGUUUGAAGAAGCUUCUAGGUAAUUCUGAUUGACCAUUCCAGCCCCCGCCCCCCACAUCCAACCCCAUUUGAGGAUCAGCGAGGAACAUCUUAGCUGUGGGGUCUGAUGGAAUUACCUGGCCUCUCUGAGCCUCCAUUUCCAAAUCUGUUCCUUCACAGGUGGUUUAAGA